rnacentral:rRNA from 1 species
UACAGAGGUCUCAAGCGUUGUUCGGAUUCAUUGGGCGUAAAGGGUGCGUAGGUGGCGCCGUAAGUCGGGUGUGAAAUCCUGGGGCUUAACCCCGGAACUGCAUUCGAUACUGCAGUGCUUGAGGACUGGAGAGGAGACUGGAAUUCAUGGUGUAGCAGUGAAAUGCGUAGAGAUCAUGAGGAAGACCAGUGGCGAAGGCGGGUCUCUGGACAGUUCCUGACACUGAGGCACGAAGGCCAGGGGAGCAAACGGG